rnacentral:tRNA from 1 species
GCCGGAGUGGAGAAAUGGCAGACUCGCUGUCUUCAGGAGGCAGUUUCCGCAAGGAAGUGCGGGUUCAAAUCCCGCCUCCGGCACCA